UGGCUUUGCAAUAAAAUUGUUUAACUUUGUAAUAGGGGAAGCCGUAGGAGGCAACAGCAAGAGUACGAAAGUUCUGCGGGCUUCUGACGAGCAUGCCCAAUAGCCAGUGCCAUCAUUUUUAAACGUAGUUCAUCCCUUACCUUAGUAGCUCUAUAAGCCUUCCCUGGGAGCUAGCCAGCUCCCGUACAGCAGUACUCAAGGAUCGGCGGUUCAAAAGCGUUCUGAACACUGGGAUGACCAUUGGAGAGAUCUUAGCCGCUAGCGUCAAAAUCAACAACAGAUACAUGGGCAGCUUGUUACGCAAGGCUCUUCGCUGCUUCUCACACACUUAAUCUAACCAAAGCAAGGAGUAAAUUACGAGAGCUUUACAUGGAACAGGGACAAACAAGGCGCUGGAAAAUUUGAUGAAUUUGGUGGGGAAUCAAGUUUGGCUUGGGAUUUAUGGUGUAAGAGGAGAGGAGGAAUUCAGAGGAAGUGUUUUUAACGGUAGAGGAGCUUCUCUUUAAUGGCCAGAUUCGGCCGUUGCGUCUCUCGCCUCUCCUUCAACAGGGCUGCAAUUUCGGUAAGCGAAGCGAGGGUUUCAAAACUUGGGGUUCGACGCUGCGGUUGCCAUUCAAAGAGGGCAGAGGCUGGUGAAGGAAGCGCUGUGGAAAAUUACAAAAUGAGAUAGAGGCAGCCACUUUGACUCUUUCGCAGCGGCAAUGUAGUAGGAUUGUUGGCGGCAGGGAUCGGAUCAUACGACAUGAGGACUUGAUAAUUAUUCCAUCAGAGAAUUUUACAUCAUUGUCAGUUAUGCAAGCUGUAGGGUCAGUCAUAACCAUAAAUACAGUGAAGGCUAUCCUGGUGCAAGAUACUAUGGUGGAAACGAGCAAGGCCAGAUAUCCAUCUCUGAUGAUCUUCAUUUUCUUGCAUCUUUAUCUCAUUUGUAUGGAGGAAAACUUAAGAUGCAAAAUUCCUUUGAUUCAUCUGUAUUAUCUGUCCUGGAUAUGUAACUUUAUUUAAAACAUUUUCCUGUCUAAUCUGCUUUCUUAUUCGAUUUUUCAAAAUCAUAACUGCUUCAGGCGUUUUAGUGUUUUUAGUGAAUAGUUAAUUCUUGUAAACUACUGUGCAUGAAAAUAAGAUUUAUUGAUAUGGCAGAGUCCUUAUGUCAGAAGAGAGCCUUGGAAGCAUUUCGUCUGGAUCCACUAAAAUAGGGAGCUUUGUAAUUAAGUCUUAAUGUUUAUGUUUUCUAUUGCUGUAACUUUUAACUACCUUUUAUUCAGUAGUAGAAAUAAUACAACCAAUUUAGUCUCAUGUUUUCCUAU